CAAAACUUAAAAAUUAUCUAUUUAUGAGAAUUGCCCAUUAUUUUAUAUUAAAUUUUGAAAUAAUGAUAUAGAUAUUAAGUUAACAUAUUUAUAAUUUCUUUUACUUUGUUAGUUUACCUUGUUAGAUAGUAAUUUCUAUUUAUUUUGAAAUAUUGACAUUUUUAGAAAUAACAAUCUAAAAUGCUGAUUUGUCACAAUAUGAUUGGUGGCUUUAAAUUCUAUGUGGAUGGCCUUGAUAGCUGCUUUUAUAUAGUAUAGAUUGAUUACAAAAUAAAUGUUACUCUCCAAAAAUGAUUCUCUAUUAAUAAGAAAAGGAUAUUAUAGCGCUUAUAACAGUCUUGCUAUUUGUAUAACGACGCUUGAUUUUUUUUAGCGUUUGUCAAUUUAAAAACGUUAUGUUUGUUACGGUGGGAAAAUAAAGAAAUUUUGCUGCUUAAUUUGUUACAAUAAGGGUUCUUAUCAUCACUCAUUCUCUCUCUCUCUCUCUCUCUGGCUCCAAAUUCAAUAUCGAAACACUCGGUUGACUCAAUGACAAUCGCCGGCAGCCGCAACGAGUUGUCGAAUCAAAUGGAGGUGGGGUUAGAUUCGUUUCAGAGACAAGUCGCGGAAAGGUUUAUCGAUCUAAAUGCAGGAGAAUGAUAAUGAGAAUCCAAGCACGGCUGCUUCAAGCGCUUAAGCCAUGGAAUUGGAGAAGCCGAAGGCAAAGCAGCACAAGGAAGGAAUUAGUUACAUCAACAGCCGCGAAGCCAUGGACUCAUCACCUCGUCUCUAGCAUCCUUCGCUCCUUCCCAGAUUCUUCUUCAAUUCCCCACUUUCCAUCGGUCGGCAAAAGGGUUUUCGUCACCGGUCACUUUAAAGCAGAGAAACCUCCGUGAAGAAUCAGUCCGACGAAGAAAGCUUCACCUUUUUCUUCAUGAUUAUGUUGCAAAGUAGCCGAGUAUGUCUGAUUCUGUUUUUCGUUCUAAUGGGGGUAGUGAAAUUGAAUUGUACAUCAAGAUUGGUCUGAUGAGAAUGAUGUCAAGACGCUGUAUUAUAAUGUAUUGAAGGCAUCAGGAAAGGAAGUGUCUUCACAAAACAACGAGGAGGUCUUGGGAAAUGGUUUGACGCCAUCUGCAGCUGAUGUUGCUGUGUAUGCAGAUUUGCAUUCUUCAGUGGUAAUGACUGUUAUAAUGUUCUUGUUAUAUGUCGUUUCUGUGACAUCUUUGUUUUCUUCCUGUUGGCGAAGACAGCGAUGAUGUUGAGAAGGAGAUUUCUAGGCAAGCUUCCAAAACCAAGUCUGUUAAGGAAGUACGUUUCCCAAUCUCACUCUGUUUCUUAGUUUUAGAUUCUGCUAAGUAGUUAAAAGGUGUUGUGUUGAAUUAGACUGAGGAGCAUCAUAACAAGGCGAGAGUCGUUGUCUUAGUUUAGAUCAGUCCUUGUCAAAUGUUCUGAAUGACAAAUGCUUUUUGUUUCUUAUGGUCUUGUUUUCUUUGAGGUCUUGAAGGGUAUUGUAAGAAAUGGAUAACAUCAGUGAAUUGUCUAAUGAACUGUUGGUGAGGGUACUAUCGUUAGUUCCAACAUUCACUGUUUGUACUUAUGGAUUUUAUCGACAAGAAUCUGCCAUUACAUAGAGCUCCUGUCAUAGAAAACUUGCGUCUUUCUUUAUGGGAGUCAAGGGUGGGUUGAGAUUGCUGUAUAUCGCUAUCUACGUAAGCUGGACAUUUCAUUUUCUUCGGUUAAAAAAGAAAACAUGGUUGCCAACAGCUUGUUUACUUGCAAAACGCUUGUGAUCUUGAAACCUUGAACCAAUACAUGUCUUUUCAUUUGUAUAACAUAAUUCUACUUUCAUCUGUUUUUGUGACCAAAUUGUUCUGAAAGUGAGUGUUUCGGUUUGGUUGCGGACCGGUUCUAGAUUGUCAGUACCUGAUUUUUUUUCUAUGA